UACGUAGGGGGCUAGCGUUGUCCGGAUUUAUUGGGCGUAAAGAGCGUGUAGGCGGCCAGGUAGGUCUGCUGUGAAAACUCGAGGCUCAACCUCGAGAUGUCGGCAGAAACCAUCUGGCUAGAGUCCGGAAGAGGAGAGUGGAAUUCCUGGUGUAGCGGUGAAAUGCGCAGAUAUCAGGAAGAACACCCGUGGCGAAGGCGGCUCUCUGGGACGGUACUGACGCUGAGACGCGAAAGCGUGGGGAGCGAACAGG
rnacentral:rRNA from 1 species